GGAGAAUUAAUACAAUUUAACACAUCCCUAAACUCAGGAUAAAAAUAAGAAGUGGCUGGGCAUUCACCUCAGAAAUCCUUUGAUAAUGUUUGAAGCAAUACCAGUUUAAUACUGUUUAAGUCAGUUUCCUCUAUUAUUGUGGUUCAAUUGUUUAGUGACUUGGAAACCCCCAAAAUAUGGUUUUUUUUUAAUUUCAGUGCCUCCUUUCUUCCUAACACACUGGUGCAAACCUCAUACAGAGCACACUGGAGCUAGCAGGCACUGCACUUUAUGGCAUACAAGUGAAAGAAAGCGUAAAAUGGAAGAAGCAGCCCCUUCAAAUGGCUAAAGGUGGUGUGACUUCAGACAUGAGGAUCAGGAAAUGGAAGUAAAGGGGAAGUGGAAGAGUAAGGAGAGAAUGCCUGCUGUUCUCUCUAGUUUAGGCAUCAAUUUGCCUGGAGGCACUGCUUGUGCCCAACAGUACAAGAGCGAGCAAAAAUGUUUAAAAGUUAGCUAAUGCAAACCUAACGUACAGAUAUGACCAUAUAAAGCUAAACAAAUUAAAAAUCAAAGCCUGCUAGAACAUAUGUAAUUACAAAGUGUACAUUAUAAUUGCCCAUAUAAUUAAAUGUUUUUAAAAGAAAAUAGAAAAUACCCUAAUACCUUUUGUGGGAUCUACUCUACAAUAAAAACAGAAAACAAACAAAAAAAGCCAAGCAUAAUAUAUUAAGACUAUACCCAUCAGGUAGAGUAAAAUUUUAUUAAAUCUAACAACACACAUAACUGUCUUCCUUGAAUACAUGAUUCAGUUUAACAUGUACUUUAGGCCUGAAUUAUUCUUUUUCAUAUUGCAUGUGGUCAUACAUCUCACCAUAAAAUUGUUAGAUAAUUUUAGUUUACAACUGUAGACUAGAAUGCACGGACUAUUGCUCCACUUGAUAAAAUCUCAGAGAAAAAAAACUAAGUCUUUGAAUGAUGUCAUUAGUUUCAAGCUCAGUUUAGCUAUUUCUUACUAGAUUAGAAAUUUCUUUUAAAAGGCUCAUGUUUAAUGUUUUUUUAAAAAAAUAAUCCCCACAAUAUUUACUGUAGCUACAUCUGUACAUAGCAGAUGCUCAAUAUAUAUAUUAAGUGAAUAACCUCACUAAUAAAUGCUUGCUUACCUUCUUACCGGUGAGGUCUGUUUAAGAACUUAACAAAACAUCUAAAUUUAAGGCAAACUUCUUAAUCAUUAAAAGACUAAAAAGUAAGCCAGUUUGCAUUAACAGGCUCAUGUUAGCCAGACAAGUCCCUCUGUCUCCAUUACCUCCUAGUUCCUAGGACAAUGACAACAACCUCCCUCCAAACCUCCGUAACUUUACUCUAUGACAUAUCGAAAAUGGUGGAGAUGAAAUCUGUUUCUCUCUUUUCAUCUAAUAAGUGCCCUAAAGAAUAUUUGCUUUUUCAAAGGCAGAAGAGACACAACUAAAAAGUUUCAACCUAACCAGGCUCUGGCCCCAGCAAUACUACUAUUAAUGUAUGUAUGCCCUACCAGUGUCUACCACUGUAGACUCAUGCAACCUCUAGUACAUGCACCUGGUAAAAUCUUUUGUUUAAAUCAACACAUGUGGCCCCAGUUACAGUAAUCACCUUUCCACUUUAUCAAAUGCACCUAAAAAUAUAUUGUUACACACAGAUCAGUUACAGUACCAGUAAGAGAGACCAUAGUAAGUUAUAGUUACAAUUCCAGUUAAAAAGGCAUUUUUUUAACUUUGAUAUUUUCACUUCGAGUUAAAAUUCAAAUCAUUAAAUGCAAAAAUGAAACAAAAAACUAAUGGCUCAACUUACUUAAUAUCAUACAACUAAUUCAGCCAACCAUAGUAUAAACUAUGAGAAUCCUAACACAUUAUCUGUAUUUACCUUAAUAAAUUUAUUAGAUAUAUGUAACAUCUCAACCAAUAUCCAGACUGUUUUUAAAGAAUACAGUAGUAUAGUUUCCUCUUGAAAAGAAAUAUUCUCUGCAGGAGAGGAAAGAUACUUAGGAGCCUUGGGUGUCAGGGAUCUCACAAAGUCAACGUCAACUUUAUCCAUAACCACCAUCAUCUACCUCCAGUUAGGAGAAACCUGGGGAAGUCCACACAAAGCACAGAAUUGGGAGGACUAAAGUAGACUGCAGGGAGAGGAGGAUAAAACACCACCUUCAUUUGGCACAUCCUUUUAUAACUAGUAUCAACUAUAAAUCUAAAUUUUUUGUUGACAAUUUCAGCAUAUAUGUGGGCUUUUCAAAUAAGAAUUUGACUAACACCAACAGUUAGCUGUAUACACUUGAAAUCUCUCUCUGUAGCUUGAUUUUCCUCCUGAAAAAUAAAGGCAAUGACACAAUAGUCCCUUCUUUCUUGCCCCGAAAUUCAAUGAUAGUUUCUAGAGCAAAGGUUCUCAAACAUUCUAGCUUCACGGCACCCUCAGUAUCUCAGUAAUUUUCUCACAGCAGCCCUAGGCCAGAAAUAAUAACACUUCCACUUAUUAAGUAGUCAGUAGCCAUGUGAAAAAAUAACCUAGCUAAAUUUCAACAAAUAAUGUUUUUACUUCAUUCUUAACCAUAAUUACUUGUGAAAUGUGUAUUACUGUUGGGCACUGCACAACUUUUCAAACCUUGGAAUCAGAGUGGACCCUGCUAUCCUCUUUCCUGCUGCAUACUGACUUUUUUGUGAAUUUUACCACAGCAACCGCUAAAAAACCAGCUUCACAAAGACAUAUCAUCUAUAGAAAUGUGGCACAACCUUGAAACCAUGAAGUAUGUCAAGGCAGUAGCUCACCUGGCAACCAGCAAAUUUCGGCUACCACUGUAUCCUACUUGAAAAUUUAAACUAUCAGAUGGAGUUGGCAACAAUGCUCUAGGGUGCCUUGGUGCAGUUUGGAAACCAUGAUACUAUGGCAAGGUAUAUAAUUUUGUGGCUUUGGACUCAGACUUGGGUUGGAAAUCAUAUUCUACCAUUAACUAUAGACUCUUAAGCACCUUAAUCUAUUGAGCCUUAGUUUCUAUGCCUGCCAAAUAGGAAUAAUACUAUCAACUUCAGAGAACAGUUGCAAGGAACUAAAUCCAUGUCUUUUAACUCUUGUACACUACAACUCUUUCCCAAAAAGACUCAGUUCAAAUCUUGUUGGCUGAGCCACUAUCAUUUUAUCAGCUAUUUGAAACAGGCUGAAAGUUUGUAAUAGCUGAUAAAACGACAGAGGUUCACCCAACAAGCCAACUUUGAUGAUGAUAUCAUGGUUCAUCAUCAAAGUUCUGAAAAUCGUUUCCCUGCACAGUAACAGCAUUUCACCUGCAGAGACUUCUCAUUUGCCAAGUGUUCUGAACUGUGUAACAUUAAUUAAUAAUUAUUCUAAGAUCACCUUAUGAU
rnacentral:lncRNA from 1 species